rnacentral:rRNA from 1 species
CUACCAGGGUAUCUAAUCCCGUUUGCUCCCCUAGCUUUCGCGCCUCAGCGUCAGAAAAGGUCCAGUGCGCCGCUUUCGCCGCCGGCGUUCCUUCUGAUAUCAACGCAUUUCACCGCUCCACCAGAAGUUCCGCGCACCCCUACCUUCCUCCAGCCCGCCGGUAUCGAAGGCACUUCCACGGUUAAGCCGUGGGAUUUCACCCCCGACCUCGCGAGCCGCCUACGCGCCCUUUAAGCCCAGUGAUUCCGAACAACGUUCGCACGGUUCGUCUUACCGCGGCUGCUGGCAC